rnacentral:rRNA from 1 species
UACGUAGGGGGCGAGCGUUAUCCGGAUUCACUGGGUGUAAAGGGAGCGUAGACGGCCAAGCAAGCCAGGGGUGAAAGCCCGGGGCCCAACCCCGGGACUGCCCUUGGAACUGCAUGGCUGGAGUGCGGGAGGGGCAGGCGGAAUUCCUGGUGUAGCGGUGAAAUGCGUAGAUAUCAGGAGGAACACCGGCGGCGAAGGCGGCCUGCUGGACCGCGACUGACGUUGAGGCUCGAACGCGUGGGGAGCGAACAGG